AUUGAACGCUGGCGGCAGGCCUAACACAUGCAAGUCGAACGAGUGGCGGACGGGUGAGUAAUGUCUGUGAAACUGCCUGAUGGAGGGGGAUACCUACUGGAAACGGUAGCUAAUACCGCAUCCCAUCGGAUGUGCCCAGGCGGGAUUAGCUAGUAGGUGGGGUAAAGGCUAACCUAGGCGAAGCACCCUAGCUGGUCUGAGAGGAUGACCAGCCACACUGGAAAUGAGACAAGGUCCAGACUCCUACGGUAGGCAGAAGUGGGGGAUAUUGCACAAGUGGCGCAAGCCUGAUGCAGCCAUUCCGCGUGUAUGAAGAAGGCAUUCGGGUUGUAAAGUACUUUCAGCGGGGAGGCGUUACCCGCAGAAGAAGCACCGGCUAACUCCGUGCCAGCAGCCGCGGUAAUAC
rnacentral:rRNA from 1 species